GCCAUUCAGUCUUCAGAAGAGGAUAAAUGUGCGUGCUGCCUGCCCUUUCUCAUGGACACUGCGCUGACCUCCCAGGGCGCUCCAAGUCAUGAAGACGCUCCUCUUUAUCUGUGCUGUUCUUUUCUUUCUGGCCCCAGGCUUUGUUAUUUACCUGGAAAUUGCCCCGUCCUCAAAUGCUUGCACUCUGGACAUGAACAACCUGAUGCAAUUGCAGGGCCCCUGCACUGACAGUGUGGAGGACUCCCACAGAGGCCAUCGAGACACCAGCUGUGACGACCAGAGGCACUCAGAGCACACACCAGGAAAAUCACCAGAUGGCAACUGCAUCCUCAUCCUACCUCUAGGGAUGCUUUGAGCUGAAACAUGAGCCUUUUCCUAAUUGUUUUCUGGAUUCCAAGACUGGGCUCAUAGUUUGUUGCAGCCAUUAAGCUUUGGUUUAGCUUUGUUUCCACAGAAAUACCCCUUGGUUGUGGUUAGUUUGGAUUAUGAGGACCCUGGCUCCAAUGUCUUCACUGAUAACGUGAUUCUGAUAGUGGUCGUGCAAAUAAUCUCUCAAGGGCUCCAGUGCAUAUUUAUAGCCACGCACUGCGCAGCAAGUGGCCUCACUGUCAUUAGCACAACACAAACAUGAUGAAAAGUAAAGGCUAAUUUAUUGAUACUGUUUUUUCAGUGAACCUGAUGGUAUGACUUCCUAGUCUCCUGCUGAGACAAAAGACAAGCCGGCCCUACUGGUGACAGAGGGUGCCACAUACAUCCGACUUUUCCUCACGGAAGUCAAUAAAAAACCGUAAGACUGAGUAAGCUUCAGUGUCCUGCAUUCCCACGUAAGCCAAGUAAAACCCUCCCAGAAGUAAAUGCUACAACAGAGCAUUAGACAGAGCCUGCGGCUCACCUGCAGUGGGGCCUCCCUGGGCUGAUGGCAUGAAGGCAUCUGCUCCACUUCAACCAGUCCAAUAUUCUCUCUGCCUCACAGCCACGGUCACCCUGGGAAAAUCUUCCCCACGCGCCUCUUCGGUGGAACUCAACAUGCCUCUGGUCUGAAGCAACACAUUCAUGAAUUCCUGCCU